CCUACGGGUGGCAGCAGUGAGGAAUAUUGGUCAAUGGCCGGAAGCCUGAACCAGCCAAGUAGCGUGCGGGAUGAAGGCCCCACGGGUCGUAAACCGCUUUUGCACGGGGAUAACACCCUCCACUUGUGGAGGUCUGCAGGUACCGUGCGAAUAAGGGCCGGCUAAUUCCGUGCCAGCAGCCGCGGUAAUACGGAAGACCCGAGCGUUAUCCGGAUUCAUUGGGCUUAAAGGGAGCGUAGGCGGGCGUUCAAGUCAGCUGUAAAAUCGCGCGGCUCAACCGCGCCCCGCAGUUGAAACUGGGUGCCGUGAGAUCACAACAGGCAGGCGGAAUGCGCAGUGUAGCGGUGAAAGGCAUAGAUAUCGCGAGGAACCCCGAUUGCGAAGGCAGCCUGCCGGGGUGCGUCUGACGCUGAGGCUCGAAGGUGCGGGUAUCGAACAGGAUUAGAUACCCGGGUAGUC
rnacentral:rRNA from 1 species